rnacentral:rRNA from 1 species
ACGCUCGACACCUACGGGAGCAGCAGUGAGGGAUAUUGGUCAAUGGGGGAAACCCUGAACCAGCAACGCCGCGUGAGGGAUGACGGUCUUCGGAUUGUAAACCUCUGUCCUCUGUGAAGAUAAUGACGGUAGCAGAGGAGGAAGCUCCGGCUAACUACGUGCCUGCAGCCGCGGUAAUCUGAGCGGGCUGGCAAGGC